GAAGGCAGCAGGCGCGCAAAUUACCCAAUUCUGACACAGGGAGGUAGUGACAAGAAAUAACAAUACAUGGCAUCCAUGUCUUGUAAUUGGAAUGAAUGGACUCUAAAUCCUUCUGUCAGUAUCAAUUGGAGGGCAAGUCUGGUGCCAGCAGCCGCGGUAAUUCCAGCUCCAAUAGCGUAUAUUAAAGCUGUUGCGGUUAAAAAGCUCGUAGUUGAAUUUCUGCUGAGGACGACUGGUCUGCCCUUUGGGUGAGCAUCUAGUUCUGCCUGGGCAUCUUUGUGGACAACAUAGCUGCACUUGAUUGUGUGGUAUGCUGCCCAUGACUUUUACUUUAAGGAAAACAGAGUGCUUCAAGCAGGCGCGUGCCCUGAAUACAUUAGCAUGGAAUAACAGGAUAUGACCACGGCUCUGUUUUGCUGGUUUCUAGACCUGUGGUAAUGAUUGAUAGGGAUAGUUGGGGGCAUUUGUAUUUAAUUGUCAGAGGUGAAAUUCUUGGAUUUGUAACAGACGAACUGAUGCGAAAGCAUUUGCCAUGAAUGUUUUCAUUGAUCAAGAACGAAAGUUAGGGGAUCCAAGACGAUCAGAUACCGUCCUAGUCUUAACCAUAAACAAUGCCAACUAGAGAUUGGCGUCAUUCUUGAUACGACUCGUUCAGCAUCUUCUGAGAAAUCAAAGUCUUUGGGUUCCGGGGGGAGUAUGGUCGCAAGGCUGAAACUUAAAGGAAUUGACGGAAGGGCACCACCAGGAGUGCAGCCUGCGGCUUAAUUUGACUCGACCCGGGGAAACUUACCAGGUCCAGACAUAGUAAGGAUUGACAG
rnacentral:rRNA from 1 species